rnacentral:rRNA from 1 species
GUAGGGUGCGAGCGUUAAUCGGAAUUACUGGGGCGUAAAGCGUGCGCAGGCGGUUAUGUAAGACAGAUGUGAAAUCCCCCGGGGCUCAACCUGGGGAACUGCAUUAGUGACUGCAUAGCUGGAGUACGGCAGAGGGGAUGGAAUUCCGCGUGUAGCAGUGAAAUGCGUAGAUAUGCGGAGGAACACCGAUGGCGAAGGCAAUCCCCUGGGCCUGUACUGACGCUCAUGCACGAAAGCGUGGGGAGCAAACAGGAUUAGAUACCCUGGUAGUCCACGCCCUAAACGAUGUCAACUGGUUGUUGGGUCUUCACUGACUCAGUAACGAAGCUAACGCGUGAAGUUGACCGCCUGGGGAGUACGGCCGCAAAGGUUG